UACGAAGGGGGCUAGCGUUGCUCGGAAUGACUGGGCGUAUAGGGCGCGUAGGCGGAUGGCACAGUCAGAUGUGAAAUUCCCGGGCUUAACCUGGGGGCUGCAUUUGAUACGUGUUGUCUAGAGUGAGGAAGAGGGUUGUGGAAUUCCCAGUGUAGAGGUGAAAUUCGUAGAUAUUGGGAAGAACACCGGUGGCGAAGGCGGCAACCUGGUCCUUGACUGACGCUGAGGCGCGAAAGCGUGGGGAGCAAACAGG
rnacentral:rRNA from 1 species